ensembl:lncRNA
AUUGCCACUGCGUGUGUAUGACUGUGUGUGUGACCGGCCUGUUCCCUCCGCUGUUUGGACACGUUUAGGGCUUCCUACUACACACACACACACAGAUCCCUGUUUCCUUCUGCCUCCGUGCCUAUGUGUGUCUCCGGACUUCUCUCUACUCCAAUUCCCAGAAAUAUCCGAGUGCAGGAAGCACAUCAAGAGGGUGUGUGUGCAUGCAGCCAUGUCUCUCAAGAUCCAAGAUGAAAUUCGACAUCCAUCCAGGUACCCAGGAUGUCGGGAGAUGACUUAACCGUCCACUAGGGGUAACGCCGUCUAGACACAACACUAAAUGGAACACUUCAAGUCUUUGGGAGCAAAUCAGCAAGUUUGCCUUGUGAAGUCAAAGAGGACCUGAGCCCUAGGACCACGCCUAAGGGCUACCUGGCCUGGUGACUCCUUGCUGUCCAUAGUCCACCAGGUCAUGCUGCUGGUCCAGUUUCAACUGCUCUGCCUGGACGUGCUACCUUGUCCUGGACCUGCUGUUUUGAACCCUCUUUCUACCGCACCUUCUAUUUCGAACUCUGAAUGAUCAGCUAUGAAAAGCCAACUGAUAUUUACUCCUGAGCCAUUACAAUGAGCUCGUCCUCCUAUAGCUCCUCCUACCAGCCUCCUCUCAUGUGCAUGUAUGUGUGGGAAUGCAUGGAUGACCUGCACUGGCAGCAGAGCUGAUAAACCCCUUCAAGAACAAGAAGCCCUGCAUCUUCCUAUAGCUCCGCCCCAUCCCAGACUUGAACUGUCAAUCACUGACUUUGACCUCUGACCUCAAAACACUAUGGGAUACUCCGGUGAAACCCCAACCUCAAAGUGACCUUGAGGGACAGAGAGGUGAUGUCACUUCAAGGCGCUCACAGACCUACUGUAUAACUGUGAAUAUAUACUACAGUGAUAACUGAUAAUGCCCAAGAAGCUGGUGUUUGGAGGAUAUAUUGGCAUGGGUGUUGUUAGGCCCGAGACAAAGGAGGUGUGGUUCAUGGCCAAUAUACCACGGCUAAGGCCUGUUCUUAAGCACGACACAAUGCAGAGUGCCUGAAUACAGCCCUUAGCUAUGGUAUAUUGGCGAUAUACCACAAACCCCCAAGGUGCCUUAUUGCUAUUAUAAACUUGUUACCAAUGUUUUUUAGAGCAGAAAAAAUACAUGUUUUGUCAUACCUGUGGCAUAUGCUCUGAUAUACCAUGGCUGUCAGCCAAUCAGCAUUCAAAGCUUGAUCCACAGUUUAUAAUAAACAAUAUACUGUAUGUCCAUGUACUGUAUAUUUAUGAUUGUGAAAGGUGAAAACCAAAAUGAUUGUGAAAAAUAGGAAUGUUACCGGAUGAUGCGGCAACACUUAGCCGAGGUCACGUCAUUGGCCGAUACAAAUGAAGGACCUAUACAAGCACAAAGCUGUUGGCUCUGUUUUUUGUUUUACUUUGUGUUC